GACGAACGCUGGCGGCGUGCUUAACACAUGCAAGUCGAACGAAAAGAGGGAAAGAGCUUGCUCUUUCCGGAAUUGAGUGGCAAACGGGUGAGUAACACGUAAACAACCUGCCUUCAGGAUGGGGACAACAGACGGAAACGACUGCUAAUACCGAAUAAGUUCCAAGGGCCGCAUGGCCCAUGGAAGAAAGGGUGGCCUCUACCUGUAAGCUAUCGCCUGAAGAGGGGUUUGCGUCUGAUUAGCUGGUUGGAGGGGUAACGGCCCACCAAGGCGACGAUCAGUAGCCGGUCUGAGAGGAUGAACGGCCACACUGGAACUGAGACACGGUCCAGACUCCUACGGGAGGCAGCAGUGGGGAAUCUUCCGCAAUGGGCGAAAGCCUGACGGAGCAACGCCGCGUGAGUGAUGACGGCCUUCGGGUUGUAAAACUCUGUGAUCCGGGACGAAAAGGCAGAGUGCGAAGAACAAACUGCAUUGACGGUACCGGAAA
rnacentral:rRNA from 1 species